GACGUAGGGGGCCAGCGUUGUUCGGAAUUACUGGGUGUAAAGGGUUCGUAGGCGGUGUGGCAAGUCGGGAGUGAAAUCUCUGGGCUCAACCCAGAGACUGCUUCCGAAACUGCUGUGCUUGAGUGUGAGAGAGGCUCGUGGAAUUGCAGGUGUAGCGGUGAAAUGCGUAGAUAUCUGCAGGAACACCCGUGGCGAAAGCGGCGAGCUGGAUCACUACUGACGCUGAGGAAUGAAAGCUAGGGGAGCAAACAGG
rnacentral:rRNA from 1 species